rnacentral:RNase_P_RNA from 1 species
AGAGUCGGCCGGACAGUCGCUGUGCCGUUACGGCAUGGAGGAAAGUCCGGGCUCCGCAGGGCAGGGUGCCAGGUAACGCCUGGGGGCGGUACUGGUGACGGUACCGCUACGGAAAGUGCCGCAGAAAACAAACCGCCGAUGGCCUCUUCACCGAGGCACAGGCAAGGGUGAAAAGGUGCGGUAAGAGCGCACCGCGUGGCUGGCAACAGGCACGGCACGGUAAACCCCACCUGGAGCAAGGCCAAAUAGGGGUGCGAUGGCGUGGCCCGCGCCGCAUCCGGGUAGGCCGCUAGAGGCGACCGGCGACGGUCGUCCCAGAUGAAUGACUGUUCUCGACAGAACCCGGCUUACAGGCCGGCUCUUCCU